CUAGCGGCGGACGGGUGAGUAAUGCUUAGGAAUCUGCCUAUUAGUGGGGGACAACAUUUCGAAAGGGAUGCUAAUACCGCAUACGUCCUACGGGAGAAAGCAGGGGAUCUUCGGACCUUGCGCUAAUAGAUGAGCCUAAGUCGGAUUAGCUAGUUGGUGGGGUAAAGGCCUACCAAGGCGACGAUCUGUAGCGGGUCUGAGAGGAUGAUCCGCCACACUGGGACUGAGACACGGCCCAGACUCCUACGGGAGGCAGCAGUGGGGAAUAUUGGACAAUGGGGGGAACCCUGAUCCAGCCAUGCCGCGUGUGUGAAGAAGGCCUUUUGGUUGUAAAGCACUUUAAGCGAGGAGGAGGCUACUUUGGUUAAUACCUAGAGAUAGUGGACGUUACUCGCAGAAUAAGCACCGGCUAACUCUGUGCCAGCAGCCGCGGUAAUACAGAGGGUGCGAGCGUUAAUCGGAUUUACUGGGCGUAAAGCGUGCGUAGGCGGCUUUUUAAGUCGGAUGUGAAAUCCCCGAGCUUAACUUGGGAAUUGCAUUCGAUACUGGGAAGCUAGAGUAUGGGAGAGGAUGGUAGAAUUCCAGGUGUAGCGGUGAAAUGCGUAGAGAUCUGGAGGAAUACCGAUGGCGAAGGCAGCCAUCUGGCCUAAUACUGACGCUGAGGCACGAAAGCAUGGGGAGCAAACAGGAUUAGAUACCCUGGUAGUCCAUGCCGUAAACGAUGUCUACUAGCCGUUGGGGCCUUUGAGGCUUUAGUGGCGCAGCUAACGCGAUAAGUAGACCGCCUGGGGAGUACGGUCGCAAGACUAAAACUCAAAUGAAUUGACGGGGGCCCGCACAAGCGGUGGAGCAUGUGGUUUAAUUCGAUGCAACGCGAAGAACCUUACCUGGUCUUGACAUAGUAAGAACUUUCCAGAGAUGGAUUGGUGCCUUCGGGAACUUACAUACAGGUGCUGCAUGGCUGUCGUCAGCUCGUGUCGUGAGAUGUUGGGUUAAGUCCCGCAACGAGCGCAACCCUUUUCCUUAUUUGCCAUCGGGUUAAGCCGGGAACUUUAAGGAUACUGCCAGUGACAAACUGGAGGAAGGCGGGGACGACGUCAAGUCAUCAUGGCCCUUACGACCAGGGCUACACACGUGCUACAAUGGUCGGUACAAAGGGUUGCUACUCCGCGAGGAGAUGCUAAUCUCAAAAAGCCGAUCGUAGUCCGGAUUGGAGUCUGCAACUCGACUCCAUGAAGUCGGAAUCGCUAG
rnacentral:rRNA from 1 species